rnacentral:rRNA from 1 species
GCUAGUAAUCGCGGAUCAGCAUGCCGCGGUGAAUACGUUCCCGGGCCUUGUACACACCGCCCGUCACACCAUGAGAGUCGGGAACACCCGAAGUCCGUAGCCUAACCGCAAGGGGGGCGCGGCCGAAGGUGGGUUCGAUAAUUGGGUGAAGUCGUAACAAGGUACC